GGCUACCCGUUUUUGCUGACGGUGACCAAGGACGGUGCAACUUUUAACUUGAGGUCAGCGGCAGACUACCCUAAAUUUCUCCGUCAACUUGGCCUACUUCAAAUGGACAUACCGGACUGGUACCUGGAGACACCGCAACAUAAGCAUUACCCCAGAGACAGCAGAGAAGAUCCCCAACCAAAUCAAAUAGAUCCACUUCCAGACAAGCCUCACAGCUACCCAGUGCCAGGCCGAGACGAG